UACAGAGGUCUCAAGCGUUGUUCGGAUUCAUUGGGCGUAAAGGGUGCGUAGGCGGCGGGGUAAGUCGGAUGUGAAAUCCCAGGGCUCAACCCUGGAACUGCAUUCGAUACUGCCCUGCUCGAGUACUGGAGAGGAGACUGGAAUUUACGGUGUAGCAGUGAAAUGCGUAGAGAUCGUAAGGAAGACCAGUGGCGAAGGCGAGUCUCUGGACAGUUACUGACGCUGAGGCACGAAGGCCAGGGGAGCAAACGGG
rnacentral:rRNA from 1 species